UACGUAGGGUGCGAGCGUUUAAUCGGAAUUACUGGGCGUAAAGCGUGCGUAGACGGUCAUGUAAGUCGGGUGUGAAAGCCCCGGGCUCAACCUGGGAACUGCGUCUGAUACUGGAUGGCUUGAGUUCGGGAGAGGGAUGCGGAAUUCCAGGUGUAGCGGUGAAAUGCGUAGAUAUCUGGAGGAACACCGGUGGCGAAGGCGGCAUCCUGGACCGGCAUUGACGCUGAGGCGCGAAAGCUAGGGGAGCAAACGGG
rnacentral:rRNA from 1 species